rnacentral:lncRNA from 1 species
GUUCCCAAGAGGCCAGGCUGCUCCUAACAGAACUAACUAAGCUGCUGAUUCGGCCCUAAGGUAUGGAUCAUUUGUUAAUUCUGGCUUCUGUCACCCAUCAUAUUCAACUCCAAAUUUCGGAGUCCACCUCUCUGGCUGCUUCUCUUCUGCCUGCUUUAAACCCUGUUCUCUCCAUCUCUAUUCUGGAGUGAAUGUUUCAAUUCAGAAGAAACUACUGCGCAAGAAAGAGUGAUAGAAAGGAGGGAAGAAAGAAGGAAAGAAGGAAAGAAAGAAAGAAAGAAAGAAAGAGAAAGAAAGAAAGAAAGAAAGAAAGAAAGAAAGAAAGAAAGAAAGAAGUCAAGGUUAUACUAUUUCAAUCUAUUGUACACACCCCCACUCCUACCAAUGGCCUCAAGACUUCACAUGAAAGUUUCUAUCACCUCCCAGAAGAUCCAAAGACUGAGAAGCAGGCCUUUAACACAAGGACAUAUGAUGGACAAUUACCCAAACCACAAAGGCCUGUCUAAAAUAUUUAUGAGCCUUUCUUCUUCACCACAUGUUCUAUCUUAUAGUAAACAGUGUUGCUUUCUUAUCUGGUGACACUCCAAGAAAGCAAGAAUGGAAAUUUGCCUCUAGAAGCUGACUUCCAAAACUCAUGCUUCACUGUUGGCAAUAUGCUUGAUACACUAUGUUAAAGUAAAGCCUGGAUUAAAAAACUGAAGUAACAGAAUCCACCACUCGGUGAGAGGAACCAGAGUUUCAUACACAAACUCCCAGUUCUCUCAGCUUGCCCUAUGGCUGCAUUACAUUGUAGCCUUUCUAUGUGCAAAAAUGUGUUCAUUCUCCCAUAUUAAAAUCUAGUUCUAGUUCAAAAUAAAUUAUAUCACUUCAGCCA